UGGUCUGAAAUGACACAAAGUAUUUUGUAUUCUCCUUAUUCUCUGAAGGAUUUCUCUGCUCAGCACUGGAAAACCUCCAUAGUCUGAAAUGUCAUAGAAUAUUUUGUAUUCUGUAAGCUCCUGUUUCAUGUCCAGGGGUGCAGGGAUUGAUUAUUGCAGUGCAGAGCAGGCAGGAUGCUCUCACCUCCACCCCAGAGUGCUGCAGAGGAUUUGUGUCCUGGCAAUGCUGCUCUGCACCUGAGCAGUGGAAAAUUCCCCAAAAUUUCACACAUUCCUGUCCUCAGUCUGCUGGGCAGUGGAGUGCACUCAUCUUGGAGAGGAGGGCAGAGUAAGGGCAGAGCACUGCUCCAAUCCCUGGUGUAGAAAAUGAAAGAAUGGUUUGGUUUGUGUCCCCUCCUGGCUGUGCUCCCAUGCCACGUUUGAGUCCAACAGCACCGGGGCCAGAGGCCAGGGGAGAUGAGUUCUAGGGAGGAAAAACAUCCCUUGCACCAUUGUUCAUUCCCUCUCUGCAUCCCCCAUCAAGAAUAUUGUAUCUCCUUCCCAUGUUUUAUUCUUUUGGUCUCCAGGCCACAAUCCCUGACCUGUUUUGUUCCCUGCAGAUGGAGAGGAAAUGUGAAUUUCAAACCCUGGCGUGACUCAGGCUCUCACAGCUGUGCUGAUCAGACAGGUGGUAAAGAAAUCUCUGUGGGACUGGCCACGAGAAUCGCCCUCCUCUGAGCAUUUCUGAGGAUUGGGAGGAGCUCUCAGAUCCCCAGGAGUUUACAGAGACAAGGGGUGAUUUUUAUGCUUGUUCUGCUUGACCCCCUAGGCUGAUUCUGAGUGCAGAAGAGCUUUUCAUCCUCCAGAGUGAUUUACUGGGGAGGUUCUGGAGAUGGGCUUCAGGGUCUCACUGAGCUGAGGAACACAAAACUUUGGGGAUGGAUCUCGAGUUCAUAACUUGUGCUGGCUCUGUGUGCAAACCCCAGCACUGCAGUUAAACCUGUUCUCUGACUAGGACAGCUUGUCCUGGGGAAAACACCCCCUGUGCUCCUGGAAUGAUUAUUUAAACCCCAUAAAAUGAUGUUCAAACAGGUGCAGGUUUGACAAUCUUUAUCAGCAGCCUCAUCCUUUUAGAGCGUGUUCAGAGGAAAAUCCUCUGUGCUGUUCUGUGUUCUGGGCCACUGCUCUCUGCUCUCACCAGGGAUGUGCAAGAUUCCUUUCUUGGCCAGGGAAAAUGAGAGUUCCCGAGCACAAAGCUGGAUUUGUCAGGGUUUGCACUGCCAGACCUUCCCUUCAGCAGCAGCCUCUGAUCCAGCCCUGCCAUCUCUGCUUAUCUGCCCGUGCCAGAGCUGGCUGAGCCUUCCAAACCUGAAAUUAUUAUCUAGCCCGAGAAUCUCUCAUCAAGGUUUUGUGUGCUUCAGUCACAGCAGGUGGAUCCUUUAAAGAAUCAUGAGCAGCCAUUAAAAAAAUAUCAGGACAACCCACCCCGAGCCCACAAAGAUGCAAUGGGUUAAAUGUGGAAAUUAGAUUUAUUGUGAUGUUUCUUACAUUAGUUUCAUUCGUGUUCUUUCCUAAAAUAACUCAUUUUCUGAGAAAAAUAACCUGCAAAUAAGAGGAUGUCAGCAGAGUUAGUGAAAUAUUGGCUGUGAUGAAAGCAAAGCAAAGGUUUGGCUGCUCGAGCUACCAGCAGAAAUGAAGAAUUUUCCCAGCAACAGUUUCUGCCAGACAAAAGUGGGACUUUUAAAAGAAAUAAGGGGAUAAUAAGCAGAUGGUUCCUCCCAUGCAGCAGGGAAUUAUUGUUGUCCUGAAGUUUCAAGCAGCCAAACCAGCGAGAGAAAAACUCUUGAAGAUCUCUUCUCUGUUUUAUUCUUUAUAGAGAAGGACUUCAAAGAUGAAAUGUUUUCUCUUAGCAAAGCAAACUGGUUUUGAAUUCUGUGCACAUUUCUGGCUAUGAUUGGGAAUUUCUGUGAACAAAGGCUGGAAUUCAUCCCCUGGCACUUCCAGAGGUUGUUCAGUGCUCAAGAGCUGCCUCAGUAGAAUUGAAGUUUUUGAUAAUGGAAUACCUGACAAAACAAAUGAAACUUCAGGUCUGACUCAGCACAUGGCUUGGAGAACAGGAGCUGCUUGACUACUGACUUAAUUAAAGGAAAAAAGAUCUUUACUAAUUUUCACUGAAACAUGGAGAGAUCACUUGUUAAAAUAAAGAGCACAAACACA